CCAGUGAUACAAACAAAUAAAAAUACAAUAUGAUUCAAUAAUAAAUACUCCUUCCCUUUCAAUUUACAUAAAAUAUUUUCUCUAUCUAUUCCAAACGAAUGACACAUUUCUGUAUUUGAAAAUAAUUUAACUAUAAAAUUUUUUAUUUUAUCUAUUUUACAUAUAAUGACAAGUUUUACAUCCAUGCAAAUAUCAUGGCUCCACUAAACUAUUAGGAUCAUAAGUUUCAAAAUUUUAUCUUUUUCUUCUUAAAUUUCGUGCCAAGUCAAACUAUUUCAUCCAUAUUGAAACUGCAUGAAGUCAUAC
rnacentral:lncRNA from 1 species